GACGAACGCUGGCGGCGUGCUUAACACAUGCAAGUCGAACGAAGUGGCGAACGGGUGAGUAACGCGUAAUCAACCUGCCCUUCAGGGGGGGACAACAGUUGGAAACGACUGCUAAUACCGCAUACUGAAGGAGGGGAUUGUGUCUGAUUAGCUAGUUGGAGGGGUAACGGCCCACCAAGGCGAUGAUCAGUAGCCGGGCUGAGGGGAUGAACGGGCAAAUGUGGACUGGGACACGGCCCAGACUCCUACGGGAGGCAGCAGUGGGGAAUCUGCAGCAAUGGACGAAAGGCUGAAGGAGCAACGGCGGGGGAGUGGUGAAGGCCUUCGGGUUGUAAAGCUAUGUUAAUCGGGACGCGGUACCGGAAGAGAAAGCCACGGCUAACUACGUGCCAGCAGCCGCGGUAAUUC
rnacentral:rRNA from 1 species